GACGAACGCUGGCGGCGUGCCUAAUACAUGCAAGUAGAACGCUGAAGGAGGAGCUUGCUUCUCUGGAUGAGUUGCGAACGGGUGAGUAACGCGUAGGUAACCUGCCUGGUAGCGGGGGAUAACUAUUGGAAACGAUAGCUAAUACCGCAUAAUAGUAGAUGUUGCAUGACAUUUACUUAAAAGGUGCAAUUGCAUCACUACCAGAUGGACCUGCGUUGUAUUAGCUAGUUGGUGGGGUAACGGCUCACCAAGGCGACGAUACAUAGCCGACCUGAGAGGGUGAUCGGCCACACUGGGACUGAGACACGGCCCAGACUCCUACGGGAGGCAGCAGUAGGGAAUCUUCGGCAAUGGACGAAAGUCUGACCGAGCAACGCCGCGUGAGUGAAGAAGGGUUUCGGAUCGUAAAGCUCUGUUGUAAGAGAAGAACGAGUGUGAGAGUGGAAAGUUCACACUGUGUCGGUAUCUUACCAGAAAGGGACGGCUAACUACGUG
rnacentral:rRNA from 1 species